AACGAACGCUGGCGGCAUGCCUAACACAUGCAAGUCGAACGAGACCUUCGGGUCUAGUGGCGCACGGGUGCGUAACGCGUGGGAACCUGCCCUUAGGGUCGGAAUAACUCCCCGAAAGGGGUGCUAAUACCGGAGAAUGUCUUCGGACCAAAGAUUUAUCGCCGUUGGAUGGUCCCGCGUUGGAUUAGCUAGUUGGUAGGGUAAAAGCCUACCAAGGCGAGGAUCCAUAGCUGGUCUGAGAGGAUGAUCAGCCACACUGGGACUGAGACGCGGCCCAGACUCCUACGGGAGGGAGGAGUGGGGAAUAUUGGACAAUGGGCGAAAGCCUGAUCCAGCAAUGACGCGUGAGUGAUGAAGGCAUUAGGGUUGUAAAGCUCUUUUACCCGGGAUGAUAAUGACAGUACCGGGAGAAUAAGCCACGGCUAACUCCGUG
rnacentral:rRNA from 1 species